rnacentral:rRNA from 1 species
UUAGUUAGUUGGCGGAGUAAAAGCCCACCAAGACGAUGAUCAGUAGCUGGUCUGAGAGGACGAACAGCCACACUGGAACUGAGACACGGUCCAGACUCCUACGGGAGGCAGCAGUGAGGAAUUUUGCUCAAUGGGCGCAAGCCUGAAGCAGCGACGCCGCGUGAAUGACGAAGUCUUUCGGGAUGUAAAGUUCUGUCAACAGGGACAAUAAUGAUGGUACCUGUGGAGGAAGCACCGGCAAACUAUGUGCCAGCAGCCGCGGUAAUACAUAGGGUGCAAGCGUUAUCCGGAUUUACUGGGCGUAAAGCGUAUGUAGGCGGCAUUCUAAGUCAAACUUCAAAGCCCGGGGCUCAACCUCGGUUCGGGUUUGGGACUGGAAUGCUAGAGUUUGGGAGAGGAAAGCGGAACUAACAGUGUAGCGGUGAAAUGCGUAGAUAUUGUUAGGAACACCCGUGGCGAAGGCGGCUUUCUGGAUCAAUACUGACGCUGAGAUACGAAAGCGUGGGGAGCAAACAGGAUUAGAUACCCUGGUAGUCCACGCUGUAAACGAUGCACAUUAGGUAUAGGGGGUAUCGACUCCCUCUGUGCCGAAGCUAACGCGUUAAAUGUGCCGCCUGGGGAGUACGGUCGCAAGAUUAAAACUCAAAGGAAUUGACGGGGGCCCGCACAAGCAGUGGAUCAUGUGGUUUAAUUCGACGAUACCCGAAAAACCUUACCAGAACUUGACAUCUGGGAAAUUCUGUAGAAGUACAGAAGCGCCCGCAAGGGAAUCCCAAGACAGGUGGUGCAUGGUUGUCGUCAGCUCGUGUCGUGAGAUGUUAGGUUAAGUCCUGCAACGAGCGCAACCCUCGUGUUGUGUUGCUACAUUUAGUUGAGCACUCGCAACAGACUGCCCGUGGUAAACGGGAGGAAGGUGGGGAUGAUGUCAAAUCAUCAUGCCCUUUAUGUUCUGGGCUACACACAUGAUACAAUGGCAAGCACAAAGGGAAGCCAAGCCGCAAGGCGGAGCAAAUCUCAAAAAACUUGCCCCAGUUCAGAUUGCAGGCUGCAACUCGCCUGCAUGAAGAUGGA